rnacentral:rRNA from 1 species
UACGUAGGAGGCGAGCGUUGUCCGGAGUUACUGGGCGUAAAGCGCACGCAGGCGGUCAGAUCAGUCUGGAGUGACAGUCGUCGGCUUAACCGACGAAGUGUUCUGGAAACUGUCUGACUUGAGGGCUUCAGAGGGACACGGAAUUCCGGGUGGAGUGGUGAAAUGCGUAGAUAUCCGGAGGAACACCAAUGGCGAAGGCGAGUGUCCUGGGAACGUACC